CUUAUCAAGAAAGGUGGAGGGACAGGCCCUGUGAAGCCUUGGCAACCUUUGACUGGUGCCAAUUCCUGAUUUCCAAUGUGGAAUAAGAUAAG
rnacentral:ncRNA from 1 species